rnacentral:rRNA from 1 species
CCCUUAGAUGUUCUGGACCGCACGCGCGCUACAAUGGCAAACUCAGCGAGUCUCCUUUACCGACAGGUAUAGGAAAUCUUUUCAGUGUUUGCCGUGAUGGGGCUAGACCCUUGUAAUUAUUGGUCUCCAACGAGGAAUUCCUAGUAAACGCAGGUCAUUAACCUGCAUUGAUUACGUCCCUGCCCUUUGUACACACCGCCCGUCGCACCUACCGAUUGAAUGGUCCGGUGAAGUCUCCGGACUGAGUACUUUUAGUACUUGGGAAGUUGACUAAACCUUACUAUUUAGAGGAAGGUGAAGUCGUAACA